AGCGAACGCUGGCGGCAGGCCUAACACAUGCAAGUCGAACGGUCCUUCGGGACAGUGGCAGACGGGUGAGUAACACGUGGGAACGUGCCUUUAGGUUCGGGACAACCCAGGGAAACUUGGGCUAAUACCGGAUGUGCCCUUCGGGGGAAAGAUUUAUCGCCUUAGAGCGGCCCGCGUCUGAUUAGCUAGUUGGUGAGGUAAUGGCUCACCAAGGCGACGAUCAGUAGCUGGUCUGAGAGGAUGAUCAGCCACACUGGGACUGAGACACGGCCCAGACUCCUACGGGAGGCAGCAGUGGGGAAUCUUGCGCAAUGGGCGAAAGCCUGACGCAGCCAUGCCGCGUGAGUGAUGAAGGCCCUAGGGUUGU
rnacentral:rRNA from 1 species